ACUCAAAUGAAUUGACGGGGGCUCACACAAGCGGUGGAGGAUGUGGUUUAAUUCGAAGCAACGCGAAGAACCUUACCAGGUCUUGACAUACCGGGAUUAGCUGGCUGAAAGGUCAGUGAUUACUCUCAAGGUGUAACCGGAACAGGUGCUGCAUGGCUGUCGUCAGCUCGUGCCGUGAGGUGUUAGGUUAAGUCCUUUAACGAGCGAAACCCCUACGUUCAGUUACCAGCGCGUCAUGGCGGGGACUCUGGACGGACUGCCGCGAAAGUAGGAGGAAGGUGGGGACGACGUCAAGUCAUCAUGGCCUUUAUGACCUGGGCUACACACGUCCUACAAUGGGUGGUACAACGGGAAGCAAAACCGCGAGGUGAAGCCAAUCCCUGAAAGCCACCCUCAGUUCAGAUUGUGGGCUGCAAUUCGCCCACAUGAAGCUGGAAUCGCUAGUAAUCGCGGAUCAGCUACGCCGCGGUGAAUAUGUUCCUGAGCCUUGUACACACCGCCCGU
rnacentral:rRNA from 1 species